rnacentral:rRNA from 1 species
UACGAAGGGGGCUAGCGUUGCUCGGAAUCACUGGGCGUAAAGGGUGCGUAGGCGGGUCUUUAAGUCAGGGGUGAAAUCCUGGAGCUCAACUCCAGAACUGCCUUUGAUACUGAAGAUCUUGAGUUCGGGAGAGGUGAGUGGAACUGCGAGUGUAGAGGUGAAAUUCGUAGAUAUUCGCAAGAACACCAGUGGCGAAGGCGGCUCACUGGCCCGAUACUGACGCUGAGGCGCGAAAAGCGUGGGGAGCAAACAGG